GUCUAGCUUGUUAUGCUGGCCGACCAGCAUGGUCUAGGUGGUUAUGCUGGCCGACCAGCAUGGUCUAGGUGGUUAUGGUGGCAGACCAGCAUGGUCUAGGUGGUUAUGCUGGCAGACCAGCAUGGUCUAGGUGGUUAUGGUGGCAGACCAGCAUGGUCUAGGUGGUUAUGCCUGCAGACUAGCCUCUGUUGUGUUUUUGCUGGUGACCAGCCUUCGUUGCAUUUUCACAGUUUAUUUUCCUGGUGAUCAGACUUCGGUUGUGUUUUUUCAAGUGAGCAGUAGUGACGUGCAGUUUUGCGAACGAUUCGUUCUUUUUGAACAACUAUUUUCUCUGACUCGAGAGUCAUGAUUUGUUUUUUUUCUGAGUGACUCGUACAUUUUCGUGGUUCACUUGACCGACCUUCUGGCCGCAAUAAAUC
ensembl:lncRNA